AUUACCUCAGCCCUCUUGGAUUUUUAUCUGAGUUUAUGGGACUGGAUUUGGAGGCUGCUGGAUUAUUUUAUAAACCAGCUCUUCUUAAAUUGAUUAGUGUGAAUAUUGCUGAAUGUUCUCCAGUGUAAUAAUUAUUUGCGCUGCUUGAGCUUUGGCAAAAUAAAUAUGUUCAUGCUUCUAACCGUCCUUCAAGGACAAUAUACUUAUUGC
rnacentral:misc_RNA from 1 species